UUCCUGCCGGAGUGGUACCUGUUUGAUGUGCUUUUGAACUGCUAGGUGGGCAGGAGCUGGGACCGAACAACAGGAGCUCACCCAAUGGGGGGUUUUGAACCGCUGACCUUCUGAUCAGCAAGCCCUAGGCUCAGUGGUUUAGACCACAGCGCCACUGCCAGGCCUAUGCAGGCAAUUAAGAGUCUGCCCCCCACAAUGGUCUAUUGAAGUUUGUUUUUAACCUUUCAUUAUGUUUUAUGGUACAGUAUAUACUGAUAAGGGAUUUUUAAAAUAUACUGAUAAGGGAUUUUUAAACUAACUUGUUUUUUCUUGGGUUGUAAAUACUUCCCUUAGCACCUAGCUAGUGCUGCUUGCUGCGAAACUUUCUGUCCACACAGCCUGAUUGGUAGAUGCUAGGCACAGACUAUCAGGAAUUUGUUCUGUACAUCACCUAGUAAAGCAAGUCCAUUCUACUUUACAGAAGUUUUGUGUGUGUUGUGAAUGUGGAAUGUCUAUGUACAGCUGGUUGGACAAUUAUUGUUUUUUUAAAAAAAGUAUAAUAAAAUUUAGGUUAUGAAAUUUACACUUAAAAUUAUUUGAACAUAAUCAUAUAUGCCCAUUUCUUUUCGUUUGAAGAAGACAAAUAGGGUUUACAUUUCAAAGGAGGGUUAAUUGACUAGGAAUGCAUUAAUGUCUUGCUUUCAUGCAGUGGCAUUUUUUUUUGCAGAUUUCUGUAACAAGCUACUCUCAUUCAUAGCUACAGCUUAGGUACUUGUAAAACCACUCUACAAACGUAACAAAUGUUUUAGGUCACUGUGCUGUCUUUGGAAUUGUGCAUAUUUUAGAUGUAUAGCCUGUGAUCACACUUUUUUGUAUUGAUGCUGAUGAGCAAGACAAGCUUAUUAACUUGUAAAGCAUAAAAAAUACUUGUUUUAAAAAAGUAAGUGACUUUUAUUUCCUGUUUACAUAGAGCAUAUUUCAGAAGAGUAGGCAUGUUAUUCUGCAGACAAAAACCAAUACGGUACCUUUGGAGUUGGUGAUUUCUUGUAAUAAGAUGCUCCAUAGGCCCUGCUGUUUAUGAGCUUUCACAGGAUCAGAACAGAAAAUAAUGUAAGUGCCAAUAGUCUGUUUGGCCACCAGAGGUCUCCUGUUCCCUUCUGUAGAAAACUAUAAAACUGGAGAACAUCAUUCAGAUUUCGUCCUAUGC